GAUGAACGCUAGCGGGAGGCCUAACACAUGCAAGCCGAGCGGUAUUUGUUCUUCGGAACAGAGAGAGCGGCGCACGGGUGCGGAACACGUGUGCAACCUGCCUUUAUCUGGGGGAUAGCCUUUCGAAAGGAAGAUUAAUACCCCAUAAUAUAUUGAGUGGCAUCACUUGAUAUUGAAAACUCCGGUGGAUAGAGAUGGGCACGCGCAAGAUUAGAUAGUUGGUGAGGUAACGGCUCACCAAGUCAAUGAUCUUUAGGGGGCCUGAGAGGGUGAUCCCCCACACGGGUACUGAGACACGGACCAGACUCCUACGGGAGGCAGCAGUGAGGAAUAUUGGACAAUGGGUUAGCGCCUGAUCCAGCCAUCCCGCGUGAAGGACGACGGCCCUAUGGGUUGUAAACUUCUUUUGUAUAGGGAUAAACCUACUCUCGUGAGAGUAGCUGAAGGUACUAUACGAAUAAGCACCGGCUAACUCCGUG
rnacentral:rRNA from 1 species